rnacentral:rRNA from 1 species
GACGAGGGGUCCAAGCGUUGUUCGGAAUCAUUGGGCGUAAAGCGGGUGUAGGUGGCUCUAUAAGUCAGAAGUGAAAGCCCCGGGCUUAACCCGGGAAGUGCUUUUGAUACUGCAGAGCUUGAAUGUGGGAGAGGGUAGUGGAAUUCCACGUGUAGCAGUGAAAUGCGUAGAGAUGUGGAGGAACACCGAUGGCGAAGGCAGCCCCCUGGGCUAACACUGACGCUCAUGCACGAAAGCGUGGGGAGCAAACAGG